UUUACAUUUUUCUGUGUUAAAUGGAAAGUGAAGCUUUAACAUUUGAAGUUCCAAGCAAACGUAAUUGUGUAACUUUAAUAAUUUCAGCAAAAAAAUGCAUAACCACUGAAUAGACAGACAGAAUAAAUAGAUCGCAUGGAGCAAAGCGAACGUACCAAAGAGAACAUGAAAAUAAGACUAGCUUUUGCGAAGAAUCCCCAGCUAAAGCAACCACCAUUACAAGAAUUAAAUCCACGAAAGCAAUUUUGAACAUUAGUUAUGGCAUGGAGUCGCCACUUUGUCAAUUUUUGUUUCAUUCCAUUCGGUUAGGCCACUUGCAUAUGUUGAAGCAAAAUGACUGCCACUAUUUGCAGUGACAUUUAACAGAACAUUUGAAGUAAAAUUAACGCGGUGUGUCAUCACCGGGUUGGAUUUUUCAACAGGGUAAUGAGCCAAGGUCGUUAACGAGCAAAAAUACCACAGGCCAAUGUAUCCCACUGAUUCGAAUAAAUUGCAAAUCCUGCAGGAAAGGUGGCUUAUCAGUUAGAGAAUUUUCGGGACAUAGAAGUUUUCAUUAAAAUAUACAAUUUUUUCAAAAAAUUUUUUCUAUACAUUUUU